UACGAAGGGGGGCUAGCGUUGCUCGGAAUCACUGGGCGUAAAGCGCACGUAGGCGGAUUCUUAAGUCGGUGGUGAAAUCCUGGAGCUCAACUCCAGAACUGCCUUCGAUACUGAGGAUCUUGAGUACGGGAGAGGUGAGUGGAACUGCGAGUGUAGAGGUGAAAUUCGUAGAUAUUCGCAAGAACACCAGUGGCGAAGGCGGCUCACUGGCCCGGUACUGACGCUGAGGUGCGAAAGCGUGGGGAGCAAACAGGG
rnacentral:rRNA from 1 species